rnacentral:rRNA from 1 species
GACGAACGCUGGCGGCGUGCUUAACACAUGCAAGUCGAACGGAAAGGCCUUUUCGGAGGUACUCGAGUGGCGAACGGGUGAGUAACACGUGGGUGAUCUGCCCUGCACUCUGGGAUAAGCCUGGGAAACUGGGUCUAAUACCGGAUAGGACCGCACUUUAGUGUGUGUGGUGGAAAGUUUUUUCGGUGUAGGAUGAGCCCGCGGCCUAUCAGCUUGAUGGUGGGGUAAUGGCCUACCAAGGCGGCGACGGGUAGCCGGACUGAGAGGUUGGUCGGCCACAUUGGGACUGAGAUACGGCCCAGACUCCUACGGGAGGCAGCAGUGGGGAAUAUUGCACAAUGGGCGCAAGCCGGAUGCAGCGACGCCGCGUGGGGGAUGACGGCCUUCGGGUUGUAAACUCCUUUCGCCAGGGACGAAGCGUUUUGUGACGGUACCUGGAGAAGAAGCACCGGCUAACUACGUG